rnacentral:rRNA from 1 species
GUAGGUGGCAAGCGUUGUCCGGAAUUAUUGGGCGUAAAGCGCGCGCAGGCGGCUCUUUAAGUCUGAUGUGAAAGCCCACGGCUCAACCGUGGAGGGUCAUUGGAAACUGGAGAACUUGAGUACAGAAGAGGAAAGCGGAAUUCCACGUGUAGCGGUGAAAUGCGUAGAGAUGUGGAGGAACACCAGUGGCGAAGGCGGCUUUCUGGUCUGUAACUGACGCUGAGGCGCGAAAGCGUGGGGGGAGCAAACAGGAUUAGAUACCCUGGUAGUCCACGCCGUAAACGAUGAGUGCUAAGUGUUAGGGGGUUUCCGCCCCCCCCUUAGUGCUGCAGCUAACGCAUUAAGCACUCCGCCUGGGAGUACGGCCGCAAGGCUG